UUAAGUUCAGGGGGUAGUCCUGCUCGAUUUGAGGUCAAAUGUAUAAAGUGGGCUUUUUAGGGCACCAAUUUGUGGUAAGCUGAUAAUCCGACCCGUCACGGUUAAUAAAGCGAUCCCCAUUGAAGAAUGUUGUAAACAACGUAUGACAACGGGUCAAGCUCGCUUUGGACGGGCAACGUCAAGCUUGUUGUAUUUCAACG
rnacentral:misc_RNA from 1 species